CCGGUGGCUCCACAGUCGGCGCAGACCGAGGAAACUAACCUGAACCAGACCCGGAACGGUGUGCGAGAAGGGCACUUUCUUUAGUCCGCGACACGGGACCUGGCUCUUCAACGCGGACAUGUACCGCCCGGGUAACGGACCGCCGCCGUUCGGACCUCCACCCCCCCACGGCCCUCCUUUCAGGCCCCCCGGGCCCUGCGGUGUUCCUCCCCCGGGACAUUUCCUCCACAACAGGCCACCGAGAGAGCAUUUCGUCAUUCUUCAUCCAUGCAUCCCGAUGCCCUCUACAAACUUCCAAUUUUCCUGACAGACGUCAUUUCAACUGCAUGACAACAGACCGUGCGGUCAUAUUUGUCAACACAGUCCAGAUCAGCCACUACCAUUGGCUACUGGCACUACCAUAUUCCUGCUUUACAUUUGAUUGGCCCCACUGUAGCGGCUUCUCCAUAGCUCGUAGUACAGUGAAUGCUUUGGGAGGCGGCCAGCAGAUCGUCUCUCCUGUACAGCCACCGCACAUUGAAGCCCCACAGUGGAACCCCACAGUUGUGGAGCACCACCCUUUGGACAGCAGUGAGCGGGCUGGCGAGGAGUUCCUGAGAUGCAUCGCAGCCAACAAGCCUCUCCCAGACUACCUGAAAGGGAACAUGGAGUUCAACCUGGCUGACGCGUUUAAGUCGGCCGAUGUCCUGAAAGAGGUUCUCAAAUCGGACGCCGAGUUCCAGAAGCUCGCGACCAGGAGCAAAAGCCGCAGUCGAAGCCGCGGAAAAUCUCGAGCCAAGAGCCGAGCGUCCAGCCGAGGCCGAGCGAGGAGCAAAAGCCGAGCGCGGGGCAAGAGCAGGCCGAGGAGCAAGAGCAGGCCGAGGAGCAAGAGCAGGCCGAGGAGCAGGAGCAGGAGCAGGCCGAGGAGCAAGAGCAGGCCGAGGAGCAAGAGCAGGCCCAGGAGCAGGAGCAGGCAUCGCAGUCGGAGUGGGAGCCGGAGCAAGAAGAAGAGUCACAUGCGGAGCAAGAGCCGGGCCAGGAGGUCCAGGUCACGAAGUAGCAGCAGAGAAAAGGGCCACGGCAAAGAGAAGAAGAGGGGCCCCUGCCACAACAGCCUGUUGGAAGGACUGAAGCUGGUCAUGAACAGCAAAGAGCUGGAGGAGCGCUUGCCCACCCUCAAAGAUGCCAUCCUCACUAUUCAGGCCUCGGGCGAAAGCCAAACGGCGGAGAGCGUGCCCACCGAGGACGGACCUCGGCAGCUCGACUGCAACGAGAACGCGACGUCACUGGAGAACGACAGCAUGCUCCUCCCCCACGACAGGGUGGGCAGCGACUUCUCCUGGCUCCAGGUGCAGACUCCUCCCGUCGCCGCUGCCCCGAAGGCGGACGAGCUUGAAGACGAGGAGUCGUUUCUGUACGGGAGUGACGACGCCAGGGGAAAGCAGGCCAACAAAUUCUCCGGCGAACGCCUUGCGGCGUUCCCCCAGAUUAGAGAACGUGCCAAGCGACAGGAAGCGGCCAGUUCGGCCGGUCAGCAACACCAUCAGAACAAAUCCGCACUCGCCUACGCCGACCUGGACAGCAGUGAGUGUGAGAAGAUCAGGAACAUAUUAAAGAGUCUGGGCAAGGCAGACGUCAGCGAGAUGAUGGGGAAGAUGCAGCCGUCUGCUGCACUUCCUGCGUCUGACCGAACGGCGGCGGCCGUGGCUUUGCCCGCGCUGCGUAACCCCGAUGUGCGACACGCUCUGGAGUCUCUACAGUCACUGAUCAAAGCAUUUAGAUUGGCUCCCUGUGCGAUCUCCCGGAAAGAACGAAGGCCUCAUUUAUGGCACAAAGAGAGUGCCACGACCAUCGCGCCACCAAAA
ensembl:lncRNA